UACGUAGGGUGCAGGCGUUAAUCGGAAUUACUGGGCGUAAAGCGUGCGCAGGCGGCUCCUUAAGUCAGAUGUGAAAGCCCCGGGCUUAACCUGGGAACUGCGUUUGAAACUGGGGAGCUAGAGUGUGGAAGAGGGGGGUGGAAUUCCAGGUGUAGCAGUGAAAUGCGUAGAGAUCUGGAGGAACACCGAUGGCGAAGGCGGCAUCCUGGACCGGUAUUGACGCUGAGGCGCGAAAGCCAGGGGAGCAAACGGG
rnacentral:rRNA from 1 species